GGGGUCGUAGUUCAGUUGGUCAGAACGCUGGCCUGUCACGCCAGAGGUCGCGGGUUCGAGUCCCGUCGGCCCCGCCA
rnacentral:tRNA from 1 species